rnacentral:rRNA from 1 species
GACGAACGCUGGCGGCGUGCUUAACACAUGCAAGUCGAACGGAAAGACCCGGCGUUUGUGGGUUGCUCGAGUGCCGAACGGGUGAGUAAAACGUGAGUAACCUGCCCUUGAAUUUGGGAUAACUUCUGGAAACUGGGGCUAAUACCGGGUAGGAUCUCCUGCACCGCGUGGUGGGUUGGAAAGAUCCGGCGGUUGUGGAUGGUCUCGCUGCUUAUCCGCUUGAUUGUGGGGUAGGGGCUUACCAAGGCUUUGACGGGUAGCCGGCCUGAGAGGGUGACCGGCCACAUUGGUACUGCGAUACGGACCAGAAUCCUACGGGAGGCAGUAGUCGGGAAUAUUGCGGAAUGGGCGGAAGCCUGAGGCAGCAACGCCGCGUGCGGGAUGAUGGCCUACGGGUUGUAAACCGAUUUCGCCGGUGACGAAGCGUGAGUGACGGUAAUGGGUAAGGAAGCCACGGCUAACUACGUG